GCAGUCUCAUGAAUUAGCCGCCCUUCCUAAGUGAGAGACCUAGGAAGGGCGGCUGAUUCGUGAGACUAACUAACAAGCUGAAUCAUGCAAGACAGCCUGGAGCAAAGAGCUUGUUUGCCAUCAAUAGAAUCAUGUCAGGGAACACUCUAAAACAACCAGCUAUAAGAAGCAGAAGCCAUCAUCUAUGAUUAAAAGAAGUUAUAUCCAGGACCAUGCAUGUACCACAGCAGAAGAGCCUGAGGCCUCCUUUUACAAUGUAUAUACGUAUAUAAAAGUGGACCGUACAUGCAUGCUAUUGAGAAGCCUGGCCAAAAUCUCAUCCGCCCUGUGUUCGACUGUGGGAGGGAGCAGCUCAAUACUUGACUGAAAGUGGUCGCAAAGCAGCUAGGCUAAACGCAUAAUUAAUGUGCAUGUGACGCUCAUUCAACUCCAAAAUGAUCUUGUUGUUACCAAACCAGUUUAAGAUACGACAAGAAAUGAAGAUUUUGAUGAGUUCGAGCAUUCUUCCUCAUUAGUAUUCACACCUGAGUUUGCCAAUGUGGUCAAUGUCGAUGGAUUGAGAAUUAAAGACGGCAAGGUGUUUGUUAUUUGGAAGUGGCAGGUGCUACAUCCACAAGACAAGACGGUAAUAAUAGUGAGGGGAAUUGCUGUUUGUUUUCGGCCAACGGAACCCCGGACUAUUCAGACGCAGAGUCUUAAACAGUCACACACCAUACCUUUCAAGGUGAUCGGAUGUAUUAAGGAAAAACUAUAUCCAGAAGUACUCUGAAAAGCAAGUGUACUUAUUGACAAAGGUGUCCCUGUACCUAUAUAUAGAAGUACAUUGAACCUGACAAUCCUGUGACUCCAAAUGCAAUUGCCUUGUAGAUGCUUCCUUUGGAUACGUAGUGAAGGAAGCACGGGAUGCUGUGUACGAUGCCCUCAUAAGGAAUGACAUUACUGUUGUAACAUUCAAGUGGGUCAAAUAUGUCAGUGACUGGUAUAUACCGUAUGGGCCCAGGAUUUUUUUGCUAACAUAACAACGAAAGGUGUAUGGCCAUCAAAUUAAUGUUGAAGUACACAUUAAGUACUGUUGUCGCCUAACCUAAUUUUACGUUGAUCGAUUUCCAAUGACUGCAUUGUAUAACUCUCGCACGACUAUAAACAAUCAUGUUCUAAUAGCAUUGUUCACCGCUCAUGUCAUUUUUUGUUGUACAUUUCUAUUGAAAUUCGACCAAGUGCAGCAAUAACAUGCAUCAUAUAAUUAUACACGUAUUAAUAGCUGUUAGCCAUGAAUAUAAUGCUCAUGAUUA